rnacentral:rRNA from 1 species
GACGAACGCUGGCGGCGUGCCUAAUACAUGCAAGUCGAACGCUGAAGCGAGGAGCUUGCUCUUCUUGGGUGAGUUGCGAACGGGUGAGUAACGCGUAGGUAACCUGCCUUGUAGCGGGGGAUAACUAUUGGAAACGAUAGCUAAUACCGCAUAACAAUGGAUGACACAUGUCAUUUAUUUGAAAGGGGCAAUUGCUCCACUACAAGAUGGACUUGCGUUGUAUUAGCUAGUAGGUGAGGUAACGGCUCACCUAGGCGACGAUGCAUAGCCGACCUGAGAGGGUGAUCGGCCACACUGGGACGGAGACACGGCCCAGACGCCUACGGGAGGCAGCAGGAGGGAAACUUCGGCAAUGGGGGCAACCCUGACCGAGCAACGCCGCGUGAGUGAAGAAGGAUGUCGGAUCGUAAAGCUCGGUUGUAAGUCAAGAACGAGUGUGAGAGUGGAAAGUUUACACUGUGACGGUAGCUUACCAGAAAGGGACGGCUAACUACGUG